rnacentral:tRNA from 1 species
GGUGGGAUUCCCGAGCGGUCAAAGGGAGCAGACUGUAAAUCUGCCGUCAUAGACUUCGAAGGUUCAAAUCCUUCUCCCACCAUCA